rnacentral:rRNA from 1 species
GAUGAACGCUGGCGGCGUGCCUAAUACAUGCAAGUCGAGCGAAUGGAUUAAGAGCUUGCUCUUAUGAAGUUAGCGGCGGACGGGUGAGUAACACGUGGGUAACCUGCCCAUAAGACUGGGAUAACUCCGGGAAACCGGGGCUAAUACCGGAUAAUAUUUUGAACUGCAUGGUUCAAAAUUGAAAGGCGGCUUCGGCUGUCACUUAUGGAUGGACCCGCGUCGCAUUAGCUAGUUGGUGAGGUAACGGCUCACCAAGGCAACGAUGCGUAGCCGACCUGAGAGGGUGAUCGGCCACACUGGGACUGAGACACGGCCCAGACUCCUACGGGGGGCAGCAGUAGGGAAGCUUCCGCAAUGGACGAAAGUCUGACGGAGCAACGCCGCGUGAGUGAUGAAGGCUUUCGGGUCGUAAAACUCUGUUGUUAGGGAAGAACAAGUGCUAGUUGAAUAAGCUGGCACCUUGACGGUACCUAACCAGAAAGCCACGGCUAACUACGUGCCAGCCGCCGCGGUAA